UCGUUCUUAGUUGGUGGAGUAAUUUGUCUGGUUAAUUCCGAUAACGAACGAGACUCUAGUCCAUUAAAUAGGUGCGUGGUUCUCUGCACCUUGCACCCUUCAUAGAGGGACACGUGGCUCCUAGUCGCACGAAACAGAGCAAUAACAGGUCUGUGAUGCCCUUUGAUGUCCGGGGCCGCACGCGCACUACACUGAAGGAAGCAGCGUGUUUUUAUCCCUAUCUGUUAAGACAGUAGGCUUCGAAAAAAAAAAAUGGCUUGAGCAAAUACAGAGG
rnacentral:ncRNA from 1 species